ACAUGUACUUCAUGUUAGGGUGAGCGUUGCCAAGACGACUAGCCGUAUGUAGUAAGAUCAUGCAGAUGUAGUAAGAUCAUGCAUCUUAAGCUCAGCUCAAUUGCUGCAUCCAUUUUCAUGCAACAACCUAUUAACACCCCUCAAUCACAUCAACACGAAUCUACUCCAUAAAAGCCCACUCCGUGGCCUAACACGACAUAAACCAAGGUGUGGUUGAAAGGAUCACAGCAAAAUGAACUUUACAUUCGCAUUGCUUGCAGUCGUCGCCCUUCUCGUAGCAGCCGUUUCAUGCGACCAGGAAGAUGAAGAGAGAAAUAGACCACCACACCACUUUAACUUUGCUAAAGUUUUGGAUAACAUCGAACACGGCUUUGAAAUUGGACAGAAAGUAGCUUGCAUAAUUCCGGGCAGUAACAUACCUUGCCCGAACUCAAUCUCUGCAGACUCUCGCCCGCCUCCAGGGGACAAUCGUGGUUCUUCUGCCUCGUCCGACUCGUCUCCACCAAUCGUGCCGGUGAAAUAAUAAUACUAACCCGUUUAUCAGCAACGCGCACGAAUUGUUAAAUAAAUAUAGAGGCCUCUUUAUUGAAC